UACGUAGGGGGCAAGCGUUGUCCGGAUUUAUUGGGCGUAAAGAGCGUGUAGGCGGCCAGACAGGUCCGUUGUGAAAACUCGAGGCUCAACCUCGAGACGUCGAUGGAAACCGUCUGGCUAGAGUCCGGAAGAGGAGUGUGGAAUUCCUGGUGUAGCGGUGAAAUGCGCAGAUAUCAGGAAGAACACCUAUGGCGAAGGCAGCACUCUGGGACGGUACUGACGCUGAGACGUGAAAGCGUGGGGAGCGAACAGG
rnacentral:rRNA from 1 species